ACAUGACCAAUAAGUUUUCAUCCUGUUUCUUCCUGUUUUAGUGAAUUAUUGUGUUCCAUCAUAUCACACAUAUUUCCUAGGCUUGAAACCCUUCAGUUAGAUUUAUUCCAUUUGGAAUUUGUGUUUGUUCUGCUUGGUUUUGUUCUGCUUGUUUGCUCUCUCUCUCUCUGCCUCUUUUGCAGUGGGUGUCUUCUGAGUCGGCGCAGUUGGACAAAUGUGACAGACUGGUGUCAGGCAGUUCAAGUGGGUGUCUUCUGAGUUGGCACAGUUGGAGCAAAUGUGACAGGCUGGCUUCAGGCAGUACUAGUGACUUUGGUUUCCAGUUGGUUAGAGAACAAAUCUUCUUAGUGACUGCCUUGAUCAACAUGUCUUCAUACACUUUGUAAAUACUAUAGAGUUGCUUUAGUUUUUCAGUAAUUGUAUACUCAUAAUUAGCAGUUUAUUAUAAUUUAUUUGAAUGAAAACCUGUUUAAAAUAACAAAUGUAAAAAAAAAAAAAAUCAUCUUUUGUGUUCAUUAGUUGUAAAAUGAUCACUUUUGGAAUGUCUAUACAUACAGUUAGACGGUUGUUUUUUCCCUUCACUGUUUUCGCUAUUAUAAUUGUUCAAAAUAAAUAUUAUUUUGUUAAAAUGUUGUGCUGAAAUAUGUUUUUCUUGUGUGGUUUAAUGGGCAGAGCAGUUUUGAAUUGAUAUACAUAUAUGUAGUAUGUAGUGUUUACUUUUUAUGCCAGUUGGUUACCUGGUGUCCAUUUGGAGUCUCCAAAUGGCCUUUUGGAAAGGACGCCUAGACUUUUCUUGAAUAAAAGCUUACAGAAACUACAUUUUUGGGAGUAUCAUCCUCAAAUUUGAAUCAAAACAUGAUCAGACAUUCAGUUUUAUAUUUAUGGUAUUUUCAGGCCCUUAACAUCAAAGUCUCAUCCAUUUUUCCCUAAGUGAAUCUCAUUCAAAGAAAACGUUAGUCACUUUCAUGUAUAUUUUACCUUGUUUUACUCUGUUCCUAUACUACUUUGAGUUACUUUGAGUGACUCUUGGGUAACACAAUUUCAAGUGUCUAGUUUAAAAUAAGACCAUUUUUAUGAAUAUAGACCAUAGGGUUUAAGAGCUACAGACAUUUGAAUUUGGGUAUGUUGUUUUCAGAAAAUUCUCAAAAAUAGGGGCGCAGGUUAAGAGGUUAAACUAUGUAAUGUUAGUUUUAUAUCGUUAGCAAUAGUUAACUUUGUUUGUUGUUUUUUUUUAUGUUAAAUUGUUAAAUUUAUGUUAACUGUGAAAAUAUAUACAUUCAUAUUUAUACAAUUAUUCUGUAUUUAAGUCUGAAUUUAAAGUACAGUACUUUAGGAUUUUAUUCAACUGCACUCCAUCUUAGAGACAAAUUGUAUUUAUGAAAAACAGAUUACAGUUUGAUUUAGAUAUUGGUGAACACGGGGCAUUGCUUACAUUUAUGUGAAUUCACACAGAACUCCUGUCGUCACUGGCGCGCAAUGAAUUGUGGGAUAGUGUAGACCGCGAAGUGUCUUGAAAUCGGCGCUUCAUUCCGCGGGGAAACGGAGAGGGUGCACUUGAAGUCGCUCUCGAAUUACGUCAGCCCUCCUCGCGCCGCGGUGAAUCGCACUUCAAAGGCUGCUUCCCCCCCCCACUUUUCUCAAGAACAGAAUACAGUGCAUAAAAUGGGCACAUAAAAAUGUGUUGAUAUCAAUAUUAUUUAAAUGUCACUGUCAAUGAAACAGCCUAAUUUCUGUACAGUUUAUUUUUGUGAUGUAAGUUAAAAAUGAAA